rnacentral:rRNA from 1 species
CAGCAGCCGCGGUAAUACGUAGGGUGCGAGCGUUAAUCGGAAUUACUGGGCGUAAAGCGUGCGUAGGCGGCUUGGUAAGUUAGAGGUGAAAGCCCGGAGCUCAACUCCGGAAUUGCCUUUAAGACUGCCGAGCUAGCAGGUGAGAGAGGUAAGUGGAAUUCCGAGUGUAGAGGUGAAAUUUGUAGAUAUUCGGAAGAACACCAGUGGCGAAGGCGGCUUACUGGCUCAUACUGGACGCUGAGGUGCGAAAGCGUGGGGAGCAAACAGGAUUAGAUACCCCUGUAGUCCCUGUCUCUUAUAC